rnacentral:rRNA from 1 species
AUUGAACGCUGGCGGCAUGCCUUACACAUGCAAGUCGAACGGCAGCACGGGAGCAAUCCUGGUGGCGAGUGGCGAACGGGUGAGUAAAGCAUCGGAACGUGCCCAGUCGUGGGGGAUAACGUAGCGAAAGCUACGCUAAUACCGCAUACGAUCUGUGGAUGAAAGCGGGGGACCGUAAGGCCUCGCGCGAUUGGAGCGGCCGAUGUCAGAUUAGGUAGUUGGUGAGGUAAAGGCUUACCAAGCCGACGAUCUGUAGCUGGUCUGAGAGGACGACCAGCCACACUGGGACUGAGACACGGCCCAGACUCCUACGGGAGGCAGCAGUGGGGAAUUUUGGACAAUGGGCGCAAGCCUGAUCCAGCAAUGCCGCGUGCAGGAUGAAGGCCUUCGGGUUGUAAACUGCUUUUGUACGGAGCGAAACGGCUUCCACUAAUACUGGGGGCUAAUGACGGUGCCGUAAGAAUAAGCACCGGCUAACUACGUGCCAGCCGCCGCAGUAACAC